rnacentral:rRNA from 1 species
GACGAACGCUGGCGGCGUGCUUAACACAUGCAAGUCGAACGGAGCGAAUGAAAGCUUGCUUUUAUAAGCUUAGUGGCAAACGGGUGAGUAACACGUAGACAACCUGCCGACAGGAUGGGGACAACAUUCCGAAAGGAAUGCUAAUACCGAAUGAAGUGCAGGGGAGGCAUCUCCCCUGCAUGAAAGAUGGCCUCUAUAUAUAUGCUAUCACCUGUUGAUGGGUCUGCGUCUGAUUAGCUGGUAGGUGAGGUAACGGCUCACCUAGGCGACGAUCAGUAGCCGGUCUGAGAGGAUGAACGGCCACAUUGGGACUGAGACACGGCCCAGACUCCUACGGGAGGCAGCAGUGGGGAAUCUUCCGCAAUGGGCGCAAGCCUGACGGAGCAACGCCGCGUGAGUGAAGAAGGUCUUCGGAUCGUAAAGCUCUGUUGAUGGGGACGAACGUGCCUAAUGCGAAU